rnacentral:sRNA from 1 species
UAUCUCUCCGUACGGGGAAGGAUGAGAAGCUUUGACUAAGGUUCGAUUCGAGCGCAGCGAGAAAACGUUGCCGCAGGCAACGACCCGAAGGGUGAGGAGCGGAGCGACGAAUAAUCCUUCCCCCACCACCA